GGACAGUGAUGAAAAUAGCCAAAUCUGAGCAUCCGAAAACCUAGUCUGUAUAAAGCAUUAUCUCUGUAAUUCUAAGA